UCAUAGGUGACCUAUUUUGAUCUCGAAAAGGUGAGUUUUCACCGAAAGGUGAGGAGUUUGCAUCACAUGAGAAACACUC